GAUGAACGCUGGCGGCGUGCUUAACACAUGCAAGUCGAACGAUUAAAGCCCCUUCGGGGGUGUAUAGAGUGGCGAACGGGUGAGUAACACGUGGGCAAUCUGCCCCUCACUUCGGGAUAACUCAGGGAAACUCGAGCUAAUACCGAAUACUUCGGGAUGGUCGCAUGGCCGACCCGAGAAAGCUCCGACGGUGAGGGAUGAGCCCGCGGCCCAUUAGCUUGUUGGUAGGGUAAUGGCCUACCAAGGCAACGAUGGGUAGCCGCGCUGAGAGGCGGAUCGGCCACACUGGGACUGAGACACGGCCCAGACUCCUACGGGAGGCAG
rnacentral:rRNA from 1 species